rfam:Fimbriiglobus ruber strain SP5 contig14, whole genome shotgun sequence.
GGGGAUGUAGCUCAGCUGGGAGAGCGCAUGAAUGGCAUUCAUGAGGUCGGGGGUUCGAUCCCCCCCAUCUCCA